UACGUAGGGGCAAGCGUUAUCCGGAUUUACUGGGUGUAAAGGGAGCGCAGACGGCAGUGCAAGUCUGAUGUGAAAGCCCGGGGCUCAACCCCGGAACUGCAUUGGAAACUGUACAGCUUGAGUGUCGGAGAGGUAAGCGGAAUUCCUAGUGUAGCGGUGAAAUGCGUAGAUAUUAGGAGGAACACCGGUGGCGAAGGCGGCUUACUGGACGAUGACUGACGUCGAGGCUCGAAAGCGUGGGGAGCAAACAGGAUUAGAUACCCUGGUAGU
rnacentral:rRNA from 1 species